rnacentral:rRNA from 1 species
GUGACUGCGUACCUUUUGUAUAAUGGGUCAGCGACUUAUAUUCUGUAGCAAGGUUAACCGUAUAGGGGAGCCGGAGGGAAACCGAGUCUUAACCGGGCGUUAAGUUGCAGGGUAUAGACCCGAAACCCGGUGAUCUAGCCAUGGGCAGGUUGAAGGUUGGGUAACACUAACUGGAGGACCGAACCGACUAAUGUUGAAAAAUUAGCGGAUGACCUGUGGCUGGGGGUGAAAGGCCAAUCAAACCGGGAGAUAGCUGGUUCUCCCCGAAAGCUAUUUAGGUAGCGCCUCGUGAAUUCAUCUCCGGGGGUAGAGCACUGUUUCGGCUAGGGGGCCAUCCCGGCUUACCAACCCGAUGCAAACUGCGAAUACCGGAGAAUGUUAUCACGGGAGACACACGGCGGGUGCUAACGUCCGUCGUGAAGAGGGAAACAACCCAGACCGCCAGCUAAGGUCCCAAAGUCAUGGUUAAGUGGGAAACGAUGUGGGAAGGCCCAGACAGCCAGGAUGUUGGCUUAGAAGCAGCCAUCAUUUAAAGAAAGCGUAAUAGCUCACUGGUCGAGUCGGCCUGCGCGGAAGAUGUAACGGGGCUAAACCAUGCACCGAAGCUGCGGCAGCGAACGUAUCACCCAAGACAACUUUACGGAGUUGACGAUUGACGGAGCGAAGCGACGUCAAAGCGUUCAUUAAAGUCGAGUUGGCUUAGGGAUACGUUCGUUGGGUAGGGGAGCGUUCUGUAAGCCUGUGAAGGUGUGUCGUGAGGCAUGCUGGAGGUAUCAGAAGUGCGAAUGCUGACAUAAGUAACGAUAAAGCGGGUGAAAAGCCCGCUCGCCGGAAGACCAAGGGUUCCUGUCCAACGUUAAUCGGGGCAGGGUGAGUCGACCCCUAAGGCGAGGCCGAAAGGCGUAGUCGAUGGGAAACGGGUUAAUAUUCCCGUACUUGGUGUUACUGCGAAGGGGGGACGGAGAAGGCUAUGUUGGCCGGGCGACGGUUGUCCCGGUUUAAGCGUGUAGGUGUGUGUUCCAGGUAAAUCCGGUUCACUUUAACACUGAGGCGUGACGACGAGGCACUACGGUGCUGAAGCAACAAAUGCCCUGCUUCCAGGAAAAGCCUCUAAGCAUCAGGUAACACGAAAUCGUACCCCAAACCGACACAGGUGGUCAGGUAGAGAAUACCAAGGCGCUUGAGAGAACUCGGGUGAAGGAACUAGGCAAAAUGGUGCCGUAACUUCGGGAGAAGGCACGCUGACACGUAGGUGAAGUGAUUUACUCAUGGAGCUGAAGUCAGUCGAAGAUACCAGCUGGCUGCAACUGUUUAUUAAAAACACAGCACUGUGCAAACACGAAAGUGGACGUAUACGGUGUGACGCCUGCCCGGUGCCGGAAGGUUAAUUGAUGGGGUCAGCGUAAGCGAAGCUCCUGAUCGAAGCCCCGGUAAACGGCGGCCGUAACUAUAACGGUCCUAAGGUAGCGCAAUUCCUUGUCGGGUAAGUUCCGACCUGCACGAAUGGCGUAAUGAUGGCCAGGCUGUCUCCACCCGAGACUCAGUGAAAUUGAACUCGCUGUGAAGAUGCAGUGUACCCGCGGCAAGACGGAAAGACCCCGUGAACCUUUACUAUAGCUUGACACUGAACAUUGAGCCUUGAUGUGUAGGAUAGGUGGGAGGCUUUGAAGUGUGGACGCCAGUCUGCAUGGAGCCGACCUUGAAAUACCACCCUUUAAUGUUUGAUGUUCUAACGUGGACCCGUAAUCCGGGUUGCGGACAGUGUCUGGUGGGUAGUUUGACUGGGGCGGUCUCCUCCUAAAGAGUAACGGAGGAGCACGAAGGUUGGCUAAUCCUGGUCGGACAUCAGGAGGUUAGUGCAAUGGCAUAAGCCAGCUUGACUGCGAGCGUGACGGCGCGAGCAGGUGCGAAAGCAGGUCAUAGUGAUCCGGUGGUUCUGAAUGGAAGGGCCAUCGCUCAACGGAUAAAAGGUACUCCGGGGAUAACAGGCUGAUACCGCCCAAGAGUUCAUAUCGACGGCGGUGUUUGGCACCUCGAUGUCGGCUCAUCACAUCCUGGGGCUGAAGUAGGUCCCAAGGGUAUGGCUGUUCGCCAUUUAAAGUGGUACGCGAGCUGGGUUUAGAACGUCGUGAGACAGUUCGGUCCCUAUCUGCCGUGGGCGCUGGAGAACUGAGGGGGGCUGCUCCUAGUACGAGAGGACCGGAGUGGACGCAUCACUGGUGUUCGGGUUGUCAUGCCAAUGGCACUGCCCGGUAGCUAAAUGCGGAAGAGAUAAGUGCUGAAAGCAUCUAAGCACGAAACUUGCCCCGAGAUGAGUUCUCCCUGAGACUUAGAGUCUCCUGAAGGAACGUUGAAGACGACGACGUUGAUAGGCCGGGUGUGUAAGCGCAGCGAUGCGUUGAGCUAACCGGUACUAAUGAACCGUGAGGCUUAACCUU